rnacentral:lncRNA from 12 species
GAGGCGCGGUCCGCCAGCGCAGGGAGCGCGGCGCCGGGCGAGUGCGCUGUGCUUUGCCGGGCGGCGCGCUCGCGCACUUUCCUGCGCCCCGGGCGGCCGGAGGCUUGCUGCAGCGCUUUCUGCCGAUGCAGAGCGAGUUGCCAGGCACCCUCGCGGGCCACGCACUGCUUUCUCACGGUGGAUGAGGUCGCCUGCAGACCCGGGCUGGGCCUUAUGGGCUGCCCAGGUGUAGAUCUGCUAUACCUGGUGAUUG